GGCUAACGGGGUAGUAAGGCAUCGGAACGUACCUUUUCGUCUGGGAUAGCCAUGGGAAACUGUGAGUAAUACCGGAUAAUAUCUUCGGAUCAAAGGUUUACUGCGAUUAGAGCGGCCGAUGUGAGACUAGGUAGUUGGUAGGGUAAUGGCCUACCAAGCCAGAGAUCUCUAGGGGGUGUGAGAGCAUGACCCCCACCACUGGAACUGAGACACUGUCCAGACACCUACGGGUGGCUGCAGUCGAGAAUCUUCGGCAAUGGGCGAAAGCCUGACCGAGCGACGCUGCGUGCGGGAUGAAGGCCCUUGGGUUGUAAACCGCUGUCAGAGGGGAUCAAAGGAAACUUGAGAGAGCCUCAGAGGAAGCGCGGGCUAAGUUCGUGCCAGCAGCCGCGGUAAUACGAACUGCGCAAACGUUAUUCGGAAUCACUGGGCUUACAGGGUGCGUAGGCGGUUCGCCAGGUCAGAUGUGAAAUUCCACAGCUCAACUGUGGAACUGCAUUUGAAACCUGCGAACUUGAGUAGACUAGAGGUACACGGAACUUCAGGUGGAGCGGUGAAAUGUGUUGAGAUCUGAAGGAACACCAGAGGCGAAAGCGGUGUACUGGAGUCUGUCUGACGCUGAGGCACGAAAGCUAGGGGAGCGAACGGGAUUAGAUACCCCGGUAGUCCUAGCCGUAAA
rnacentral:rRNA from 1 species